UACGUAGGGUGCGAGUGUUAAUCGGAAUUACUGGGCGUAAAGCGUGCGCAGGCGGUUUUGUAAGCCAGAUGUGAAAUCCCCGGGCUCAACCUGGGAAUGGCAUUUGGGACUGCAAGGCUGGAGUGUGGCAGAGGAGACUGGAAUUCCUGGUGUAGCAGUGAAAUGCGUAGAGAUGUGGAGGAAUACCGAUGGCGAAGGCAGCCCCCUGGGUCGAUACUGACGCUCAUGCACGAAAGCGUGGGGAGCAAACAGG
rnacentral:rRNA from 1 species